rnacentral:rRNA from 1 species
AUAUCAAGAGGAACACCUGCGGGGAAGGCGGGUUGCUGGGCCGACACUGACGCUGAGGCGCGAAAGCNAGGGGAGCGAACNGGAUUAGAUACCCCGGUAGUCCUGGCCUUAAACGAUGAAUGCUUGNUGUCUGGGGUUAUANAGUCCCCGGGUGCCGUCGCUAACGCUUUAA